rnacentral:rRNA from 1 species
AUUGAACGCUGGCGGCGUGCCUAACACAUGCAAGUCGAGCGGUAACAGGUGUAGCAAUACAUGCUGACGAGCGGCGAACGGGUGAGUAAUGCUUUGGAAUCUUCCCAGUAGGUAGGGGAAUAACCAGUCGAAAGAUUGGCUAAUACCGCAUACGUCUGUAAAGGGAAAGCGGGGAUCGCAAGACCUCGCGCUAUUGGAUGAGCCAAAGUCGGAUUAGCUAGUUGGNGGGGUAAUGGCCUACCAAGGCGACAAUCCGUAGCUGGUCUGAGAGGACGACAGCCAACACCGGAACUGAGACACGGUCCGGACUCCUACGGG